rnacentral:rRNA from 1 species
CAGAAACUCAAAGGAAUUGACGGGGCCCGCACAAGCGGUGGAGUAUGUGGUUUAAUUCGAUGCAACGCGAAGAACCUUACCUGGUCUUGACAUCCCGGAGACCCUUAGGAAACUAGGGGUGCUUCCAUCUGGAAGAAUCUGGAGACAGGUGCUGCAGGGCUGUCGUCAGCUCGUGUCGUGAGAUGUUGGGUUAAGUCCCGCAACGAGCGCAACCCUUGCCUUUAGUUGCCAGCAGUUCGGCUGGGCACUCUAAAGGGACUGCCGGUGUUAAACCGGAGGAAGGUGGGGAUGACGUCAAGUCCUCAUGGCCUUUAUGACCAGGGCUACACACGUACUACAAUGGCCGAUACAAAGGGCAGCGACACUGCGAGGUGAAGCCAAUCCCGUAAAAUCGGUCUCAGUCCGGAUUGGAGUCUGCAACUCGACUCCAUGAAGUUGGAAUCGCUAGUAAUCGUGGAUCAGCAUGCCACGGUGAAUACGUUCCCGGGCCUU